CCUACGGGUGGCAGCAGUGGGGAAUAUUGGGCAAUGGGCGCAAGCCUGACCCAGCAACGCCGCGUGAAGGAAGAAGGCUUUCGGGUUGUAAACUUCUUUUCUCAGGGACGAAGCAAGUGACGGUACCUGAGGAAUAAGCCACGGCUAACUACGUGCCAGCAGCCGCGGUAAUACGUAGGUGGCAAGCGUUAUCCGGAUUUACUGGGUGUAAAGGGCGUGUAGGCGGGAAUGCAAGUCAGAUGUGAAAACCACGGGCUCAACCUGUGGCCUGCAUUUGAAACUGUAGUUCUUGAGUGCUGGAGAGGCAGACGGAAUUCCGAGUGUAGCGGUGAAAUGCGUAGAUAUUAGGAGGAACACCAGUGGCGAAGGCGGUUUGCUGGACAGUAACUGACGCUGAGGCGCGAAAGCGUGGGGAGCAAACAGGAUUAGAUACCCGAGUAGUC
rnacentral:rRNA from 1 species